GGCGAUUGGGGUUUGAUCAUGGCUCAGAGCGAACGCUGGCGGCAGGCUUAACACAUGCAAGUCGAACGGGCGUAGCAAUACGUCAGUGGCAGACGGGUGAGUAACGCGUGGGAACGUGCCUUUUGGUUCGGAACAACACAGGGAAACUUGUGCUAAUACCGGAUAAGCCCUUACGGGGAAAGAUUUAUCGCCGAAAGAUUGGCCCGCGUCUGAUUAGCUAGUUGGUGAGGUAACGGCUCACCAAGGCGACGAUCAGUAGCUGGUCUGAGAGGAUGAUCAGCCACAUUGGGACUGAGACACGGCCCAAACUCCUACGGGAGGCAGCAGUGGGGAAUAUUGGACAAUGGGCGCAAGCCUGAUCCAGCCAUGCCGCGUGAGUGAUGAAGGCCCUAGGGUUGUAAAGCUCUUUUGUGCGGGAAGAUAAUGACGGUACCGCAAGAAUAAGCCCCGGCUAACUUCGUGCCAGCAGCCGCGGUAAUA
rnacentral:rRNA from 1 species